CUCGUUUCUUUCUUUUCUACAUCAUGGUGGGCCGAUUCAAUAAGGUUCUGAUCAUUGAUGGCAGGGGCCAUCUGCUCGGUCGCCUUGCCACCAUUGUGGCCAAGCAAGUCCUGCUCGGAAACAAUUUUGUGGUGGUUAGAUGGGAGUCAACAUCUCUGUACUUCGUACAAGGAUAAAAUGCCAACCCUUCCCGUGGACCAGAUCACUUAAGAGCCCCCAGUUGCUGCAUCUGAAGCACAGUAAGGGGUAUGCUUCCACACAAGACCAAGAGGGGUCAGGCUGCUCUAGAGGCUGAAGUUGUUUGACUGCAUCCUCAUGAAAAGAGGAAGCACAUGGUUGUGCCAGCUGGUCUCAAGAUUGUUGGUCUGAAGCCCAAAUGUAAGGUAACCUUGCUUGGCCCAUGAGGUUGGCUGGAAGUACUUCAGAGCCCCAGUCGCAUUUGUGGAGGAUAGUAAGAGGUAUGCUUUCUCACAAGACCAAGAGGUGUCUGGUUGAUCUGGAGAGGCUGAAGGUGUUUGACUGCAUCCCACUCCCGUUAUGAAAAGUUGAUCCUACUUUGCUGUUUGGCUGGAAGUACCAGGCCAUCCUGGAAGAGAGGGGGAAAGCCAAGAUGUGCUGUCAUACUUUUUUUUUUUUUUUUUUUUUAAAUAUGUCUUCCAUUAGUUGUACAACCUGUAUUUAAAUGACAAACAUGUAGGUACCACAAUAAGGAAAUUGAGGUUACAACAGAACAGUCCUCCAUGAGGGUAAAAUAAAAAAUGUAAAUGUCUAGGACUGUUUUAAUAAUGUCUACAUCCUUUCAUAAAUUGUACCACAGAUUUUUACAGUUUUGACUUGUAGAUGCAUUUUUAAUGAGCAGUCAAAUAACCACUUUUUGUUCUCUGCUCAUUUAAUAUAACCAUAUCUGCGUUAUGAUAUAUUGGUGUGAUCUUCUGUAAUAGUUUGUUUUGUUUUUGUUAAUAAACAUGUC